rnacentral:rRNA from 1 species
CCAAUCGAACCCGGAGAUAGCUGGUUCUCCUCGAAAUAGCUUUAGGGCUAGCCUCGCAUUAGUUUACCGGAGGUAGAGCACUGAAUGGUCUAGGGGGCCUCACCGCCUACCGAAACCUAUCAAACUGCGAAUGCCGGAUAAAUGAUGUGCGGGAGUCAGGCCGCGAGAGAUAAGUUCCGCGGUCAAAAGGGGAACACCCCAGAUCGUCUGCUAAGGUCCCCAAGUACGCGUUAAGUGGGAAAGGAUGUUGGAUUGCACAGACAACCAGGAUGUUGGCUUAGAAGCAGCCACACAUUCAAAGAGUGCGUAAUAGCUCACUGGUCGAGUGAUCCAGCGCCGAAAAUGUAACGGGGCUAAAACGCGACACCGAAGCAGCGGGAUGCGUAAGCAUCGGUAGAGGAGCAUUGUGUGAGGAUAGAAGCCAGAGCGGGAGCACUGGUGGACUUCACAGAAGAGAGAAUGCCGGUAUGAGUAGCGAGACCCAUGCGAGAAACAUGGGCGUCGAAGGCCCAAGGUUUCCUGGGGAAGGUUCAUCCACCCAGGGUAAGUCGGGACCUAAGCCGAGGACUGAGGUCGUAGGCGAUGGACAGCAGGUAGAGAUUCCUGCACCACUUACACUUGUUUGACGAAGCAGUGACACAGAAGGAUAGGACGAGCGCGGUGAUGGUCAACCGCGUAGGCGGCACGAGGCUGGGGAGCAGUAAAGUACACUUCCCGAGAAGGCUGAGUGCUGACAGGACCGAAAAAGAGUAGGGAAGCGUCUGAGUUCACGCUGGCGAGAAAAGCUGCUAAGGAGAGUGUGAGUGCCCGUACCGGAAACCGACGCAGGUGGGCGAGGAGAGAAUCCUGAGACGGACGGGAGAACUCUUGUUAAGGAACUCGGCAAAAUGACCCCGUAACUUCGGGAGAAGGGGUGCCUCGAAAGAGGCCGCAGAGAAUAGUCACAAGCGACUGUUUAGCAAAAACACAGGUAUCUGCGAAAGCGAGAGCUGACGUAUAGGUGCUGACGCCUGCCCGGUGCUGGAAGGUUAAGGGGAAGUGUUAGGGGAAACCCGAAGCAGAGAACCGAAGCCCCAGUAAACGGCGGCCGUAACUAUAACGGUCCUAAGGUAGCGAAAUUCCUUGUCGGGUAAGUUCCGACCCGCACGAAUGGCGUAACGACUUGUGAGCUGUCUCAACAGGAGGCCCGGUGAAAUUGAAGUAUGUGUGAAGAUGCACAUUACCCGCGACUGGACGGAAAGACCCCGUAGAGCUUUACUGUAACCUGACAUUGGAUCUUGAUAACGGAUGCACAGGAUAGGUGGGACGCUGGGAGGUAUGGACUUUGGUCUGUACGGAGCGGACGUUGGGAUACCACUCUUCUGUUAUUGAGAUUCUAACCUCAAGCCGUAAGCCGGAUGAGAGACAGUGUCAGGCGGACAGUUUGACUGGGGCGGUCGCCUCCGAAAGAGUAACGGAGGCGCCCAAAGGUACCCUCAGAAUGGAUGGAAACCAUUCGAAGAGAGCAAAGUCAGAAGGGUGCUUGACUGCGAGACCAACAAGUCGAGCAGGUACGAAAGUAGGGCUUAGUGAUCCGGCGGUAAGAGAGUGGAAUUGCCGUCGCUCAACGGAUAAAAGCUACCUCGGGGAUAACAGGCUGAUCUCCCCCAAGAGU